rnacentral:rRNA from 1 species
GUGGGGAAUAUUGGACAAUGGGGGAAACCCUGAUCCAGCAAUGCCGCGUGAGUGAUGAAGGCCUUCGGGUUGUAAAGCUCUUUUAUCAGGGAAGAUGAAGACGGUACCUGAUGAAUAAGCUCCGGCUAACUUCGUGCCAGCAGCCGCGGUAAUACGAAGGGAGCUAGCGUUGUUCGGAAUUACUGGGCGUAAAGGGCGCGUAGGCGGCCUUGUAAGUUAGAUGUGAAAGCCCCGGGCUUAACCUGGGAACUGCAUUUAAGACUGCAAAGCUAGAGGACGAGAGAGGAAAGUGGAAUUAUGAGUGUAGAGGUGAAAUUCGUAGAUAUUCAUAAGAACACCAGUGGCGAAGGCGACUUUCUGGCUCGUAUCUGACGCUAAGGCGCGAAAGCGUGGGGAGCAAACAGGAUUAGAAACCCCUGUAGUCC